GACCUUCGAUUAGGCGAAUUGAUUUAUUUAAGUAAAAAUAUAUAAAUUAGUAUAUAUUUAAAUCAACCAAGUGUUUGUAUUGUUUUUUUGUAGAAUUAAAUUUGAAAAUAUAUUGGAGUAUUUUUAGUUUAAAGUUGUAUGCCUUCGUUGAAACUUGGUUGUGUUUGUAUUUCUACUUGAAUCAAGUAGAUAUGAUUAAUAAAGUUUUAAUGGUGUGGUUAGCUAGAUUAUUUUACUCUAAUAAGUAACUUAAUUGUUGAGUAAACUUGAAUGCUUAAAAAAACUAGAUUAAGUUUUUAAUUCUACUUAAUUAUCAACUGCUUUUAACGCAAAAAAAUCUAUUUGGAUUUGAAAAAAGGGAACAACAUUCUCAGACUUUUUCUUCUUUAACUCUAAAAAUUAAAAAUAAUAUCAUGUCAUUUUAAAAUUUUUAUUCUUUAAUGAUAUUCUGGUGUUAUUACCAAAUGUUUAGCAGUAUGAAACCUAUAAUAUUAUAUACCAUACUAUAUACCCUAUUUUACUUAUAAAGUUAAUAAUCUGUAAAGUAAUUUGUAAAAAUUUUUUAAUUGUAAAAUUGCUACAUGAGAAGACAAGUUGUUAGAUGAAAUUCAAAUAUUCUCUAUGUUUGUGUUGUGUAAGUCAAAAAAUAAUAAACAAAGAUGAUAUUGAUUGUGAUGACCAAGAGAUUCAUUUUAAGACACAUCAAUCUUCAUCAUCUUUAAAUAAAAAGGAUAAACAUUAUGGAUUUCCAUUAUCUCAAGCAAAAACCAAGAGUUCAAAAUAUUAGUGGUAAGAACUGUCAAAAACUUGUGAUAGCUAUGAUGAAGAGAUUUGUGACAAAUUCGCUCAUGGCCAAAUAUGGCAGCUGGAAAAGGCAAAGAUCUUUUUAGCCUAAGUAAGCUAUACAAUUUAAUAAAAGUUUGUGCAUCGACUUCUCACGAAUCAUACACAGAGUCGAUUGACGAUGCAAUAAUUGCUGAUUCGUGAAAACGGGCAACUUUUGCUUGUCUUAAAGUGCCUUAAAUCCAUCGUUAUAAUAUUACUUUGUUUGUAAAUUGUUUUGAAAAAUAAAUUUAAA